rnacentral:rRNA from 1 species
CGGGGGGCAGCAGUCGAGAAUCUUCGGCAAUGGGCGCAAGCCUGACCGAGCGACGCCGCGUGGAGGAUGAAGGCCUUCGGGUUGUAAACUCCUGUCGAGGGGGAAGAAGGGUCGAAAGACCUUGACUGAUCCCUGGAGGAAGCACGGGCUAAGUUCGUGCCAGCAGCCGCGGUAAGACGAACCGUGCGAACGUUAUUCGGAAUCACUGGGCUUAAAGCGCGUGUAGGCGGGAUGGUACGUCGACUGCUGAAAUCCCCCGGCUUAACCGGGGAACGGGCAUCGAUACGGCCAUCCUGGAGGAACGUAGGGGGACCUGGAACUUCCGGUGGAGCGGUGAAAUGCGUUGAGAUCGGAAGGAACGCCCGUGGCGAAAGCGAGGUCCUGGACGUUUUCUGACGCUGAGACGCGAAAGCUAGGGGAGCGAACGGGAUUAGAUACCCCGGU